UGCGACACGUGAUUGGCUAGAACGUUACGUCGACGUCAAGUUUGAGCUUGUCACGAACAGCUGAUCGGGCACCUUGUUAUGAUAGAAGUCAGUGUCAACCGUCCAACAAAAACACGUUAAUAUAGAAGGAUGUUGCUUAUAUUUUGAGAUUGAUUUACACCAUGCACACAUUAAAAUGGCAUUUUAAUGCCUAAAGACAUGUAGUUUUUAUAAAAUCAAACAAGAGGUCUACACAAGUAUUAAGAUGACUUGGAGGCAAUGGUGUUAUAAUAGUUUUUACAAACUGAAAUUGGAAAAAGUAAUCAGAGAAAAAGAGUAAGCACUUGUUUCAUUUGAAGAUAAACAUACAUAAGGAAAUUGUCAGACCAUUUACAACUGAGGACAUAUAUAACAAAACUAUA